ACGCGCUUUUGCUCCUCCUGAAGUGUCUUUGGUCCAACGUUGUUCCAGACCUGUGCAACAGACCUGCAGACCAAAGCUGACCGAUUGGCACAGAUGAGCAUAUGUUCUUCAUUGGCCCGGAAAUUCCCCAAACUCACAAUUAUAGGGGAAGAGCUCGUGGUCUGGGUUGAUCCUCUGGAUGGAACCAAGGAAUAUACCGAAGGUCUUCUUGACAAUGUAACAGUUCUUAUUGGAAUUGCUUAUGAAGGAAAAGCCAUAGCAGGAGUUAUUAACCAGCCAUAUUACAACUAUGAGCUAUGCUAUUAACUGAUGAGAAACCUUUAAAAAUACGGAUUCCCAGGCCAUACCCCAGACCUACUGAAUCAAAAUCGCUGGGGGCAUUGGUACUGGGCAGGACCAGAUGCUGUGUUGGGGAGGACAAUCUGGGGAGUUUUAGGUUUAGGCGCCUUUGGGUUUCAGCUGAAAGAAGUCCCUGCUGGGAAACACAUUAUCACAACUACUCGAUCCCAUAGCAACAAGUUGGUUACUGACUGUGUUGCUGCUAUG
rnacentral:lncRNA from 10 species